GGUGGAUUUAGUGAGGUCGUGGGGGGUACUCGAUCACCUACUGCAGUGCGUCUGCAUACAGUUCUGUGUUGAAGCAAUUAUAAUUUCCCAAUAAUUUGCAGAUAUUACUUAUAUGGAACAUCACAGUGUCAGCAUAAACUGGGAUAGUGUAUCUAAUUCUGCAUGAAGCUCAAGAUUUCUACACCUGCAAUUUUAUUAACUCUUGCAAUAAAUAUUAUACAUCAUCACAGUUACAUAACUAUGUUCUUUGAAAUAAAUAAAAUAAAGAUACUUCA